AAAAACAUGUCUUUUUGAAUUUAUUUAAAGUCAGGCCUGCCCAAUGAUAGAUUAAAUGGCCGCAGUAUAUUAACUGUGCAAAGGUAGCAUAAUCAUUAGUUUUUUAAUUGAAAGCUUGUAUGAAUGGUUUAAUGAGAUAUAAACUUUUUUAUUUUAUUAUAUAGAAUUUUAUUUUUUAGUUAAAAAGCUAAAAUUUUUAUAUAAGACGAGAAGACCCUAUAGAUUUUUAUAUUUUUAUUAUUUUAUUUAUAAAGUAAAAUUGAAAUAUAAUAAUUUAUAAUAUUUUGUUGGGGUGAUAAUAAAAUUUAAUUAACUUUUAUAUUUUUAUAACAUUGAUUUAUGAAUUUUUGAUCCAUUAUUAAUGAUUAAUAAAUUAAAUUACCUUAGGGAUAACAGCGUAAUUUUUUUAGAGAGUUCUUAUCGAAAAAAAAGAUUGCGACCUCGAUGUUGAAUUAAAAUUUAUUUUAGGUGCAGUAGUUUAAUAAUAAAGUCUGUUCGACUUUUAAAUUUUUACAUGAUCUGA
rnacentral:rRNA from 1 species